rnacentral:misc_RNA from 1 species
UCCGUGUUAACCACGGCAGUCUCUUUAGAGAGCCCAACUUAAUGCUGGCAACUAAAGACAAGGGUUGCGCUCGUUGCGGGACUUAACCCAACAUGUCACCACACGAGCUGACGACAGCCAUGCAGCACCUGUCACGCUGUGGGGUUGCCCCCAAGACUCCAUCUCUGGAGCUGUCAGCGGAUGUCAAACCCAGGUAAGGUUCUGCGCGUUGCUUCGAAUUAAACCACAUGAUCCACCGCUUGUGCGGGCCCCCGUCAAUUCCUUUGAGUUUUAGUCUUGCGACCGUACUUCCCAGGCGGAGUACUUAUUGCGUUAGCUCCGAUUCGGCAGGGGUCAAGACCCGCCAAAUCUAGUACUCAUCGUUUACGGCGUGGACUAC